UACGUAGGGGGCAAGCGUUGUCCGGAAUCAUUGGGCGUAAAGAGCGCGUAGGCGGCCCUGUAAGUCCGCUGUGAAAGUCAAGGGCUCAACCCUUGAAUGCCGGUGGAUACUGCAGGGCUAGAGUCCGGAAGAGGCGAGUGGAAUUCCUGGUGUAGCGGUGAAAUGCGCAGAUAUCAGGAGGAACACCGAUGGCGAAGGCAGCUCGCUGGGACGGUACUGACGCUGAGGUGCGAAAGCGUGGGGAGCGAACAGG
rnacentral:rRNA from 1 species